ensembl:snoRNA Gm24907 predicted gene, 24907
GUGGUGUCCUCAGAGCAGGGACCCUGAAGAAUGGCUUCUCUGUUUACAACACACCCAACAAGAAUCUGGGGCCAUUGUAACAAGGAGUACAACACUUUGUUCUCCUGUGAGCAAGUGCCCUACAUGU